rnacentral:rRNA from 1 species
AACGAACGCUGGCGGCAGGCUUAACACAUGCAAGUCGAGCGCCCCGCAAGGGGAGCGGCAGACGGGUGAGUAACGCGUGGGAAUCUACCCAUCUCUACGGAAUAACGCAUGGAAACGUGUGCUAAUACCGUAUACGUCCUUCGGGAGAAAGAUUUAUCGGAGAUGGAUGAGCCCGCGUUGGAUUAGCUAGUUGGCGGGGUAAAGGCCUACCAAGGCGACGAUCCAUAGCUGGUCUGAGAGGAUGAUCAGCCACACUGGGACUGGGACACGGCCCAGACUCCUACGGGAGGCAGCAGUGGGGAAUAUUGGACAAUGGGCGCAAGCCUGAUCCAGCCAUGCCGCGUGAGUGAUGAAGGCCCUAGAGUUGUAAAGCUCUUUCACCGGUGAAGAUAAUGACGGUAGCCGGAGAAGAAGCCCCGGCUAACUUUGUGCCAGAAGCCGCCGUAAGAC